UCUCUAACGUCUCAUCCAUUCAAUCUUUUCUGAUUUAUUUUGUUUCUUUGUUUUCUUGUGUUUAUAAUCACAAAACCUCAUAUCUCUAGUACUAUUAUAUUUUGUUUUCUCUUGUUUUGUUAUUAACGUAAAUUAUAAUGGUAUCCUCAAUCCCCGGCUUUUAUAAUGAUACAUUUAUUUGCUAUAUACUACAAUUGACACAAAAGAGUUUUUAAUUGAAACGUCCGGUGGGUCCGGUGAGUAUCACCGAGAUUCUAACACCCACUGAAAGACAUUUUCCCUUUAACAACGGAGCAAGUGGCUUGAUAAAUCACAGACGGCGUUAACACUCCGUCACUCGAGUAGUAAUACCGGAUAUGGAAAAGGCUCGCUACCUUUGUCCAUGGAAAAUGUAACACCCGUUCAACCCACAUCAUGAGUCCGAACUUGGGGGGACUAUGAGCGGGAACCCAUUUGAAGUAUACUAGUGUACGAACUUAUUUUAGCAAGUCCCCACUCAAGAUGUGUCUUGAACGGGAACUUAGGGGGACUUGUAGUCGGUUAUGCAUAAAACAACCUCCCAAACCCGUAAACCAGCAGACAUUCCAUCACAACCGAGGCCGUCUUAGGGUUCCCGCCCAUAAGCAGGUUGGGCCGGGCUUAAGCACGGUCGUAACGCUGGGCUUGGAACAACUGCAGAAGGCAUAGGGGAGGUCUACAUUUGAAACAACAACAAGGGUAAGUGUCCCACAUCGGUUUCCAAGCAAAGUGAACUAGGGGUGUUAUCGGUUUUAUUCGAUUCGGUUUUCACCUAAAACCGGAAACCAAACUGAACUAAAACUUCGGGUCGGUUCAGUUUGGUUUUUCGGUUCAGCCUGGUUCGGUUUUUUCGGUUUUUUUUUUUUCUUCCAGUUUUCACUUACCUAUCGGAAAACAGUCGAUUUGGAGAGAGGGCGGACUGGCAAUGGUGGUGGUGGCGGACUGGCGAGAGGGGAGAAGAGGGCGAGGCCGGAGAGGGGAGAUGCUGGAGAGGAGGGCGAGAGGUGGAGGCCGGAGAGGGGAGUCGGGAGGACGGGAGCACUUGGAGAAAUAGAGAAAGAAAGAUGAGGCAACUAGCAGCCUGUCCGAGACGCCGGACUGCCGGAGAGGAAGGCGAUAGGUGGAGGCCGGCGGAGAGGAGGGCGACAAACGGAGGCCUGAGAUGGGGGCGAGAGGCGGAGGCCGAAGAGGAGAAAGAUGAGGCAACUGGUAGCCUGUCCGAGAGGCCAAGACGCCGGACUGCUGGAGAGGAGGGCGACAGGCGGAGGCCAGUGGAGAGGAGGGCGACAAACGGAGGCCGGAGAGGGGAGUCGGUCAGUCGGGAGCACUUGGAGAGGUUUAGAAACAGAGAAAGAUGAGGAAGUGAGGAACUGGCAGCCUUGUGGUUUUCGACUGAAGAGUCUUCAGUGAAGACUUAGGGUUUUUUUUUUUUUUCAAAAAUCAAAACGACGUCAUUAACCGUUGACUUCGGUUCAAACGGUUCAGUUCGGUUUUCACCGGCCUUAAAUUGAAAACUGAACCGAAAAUAUCUGGUUCGGCCCGUUUUUUUUUUCGGUGCGGUUUUUUCGGCUACGGUUUGGUUUUCAGUGCGGUUUUUUUCGGUUUUCGGUUUCGAAGUCACACCUCUAAAGUGAACCCACGCUGGGCCAUAAAUACGGCCCAGCCAUCAGCUUGUCAGGUAUCAUUAACUACCCUAGUAAUUACAUUCUACCAACAGAUACUAACUUAAUCAUCGGAGGAGGAAAGACCGGAAACCCUGGUCCUCCUUUUGUUUACAAGUCAACGGAAGGAUAGCCACUCACCUACCAGACAAGCUUAUGCAACCCUAUCCAGGAUUGUACAGAAACACCUACAAUGACUCGAUUCAACUCCUACAAAGAACCUACACAAUCUCCUACAGAUUACCUACACAAUCACAUCGCCUCAGUUCACCUUAUUCACUCCAUCAUCCUAGUUGUUCUUCUUGUUGUUCUUGGCAUCACCCUCCUCACUUUCCUUGUUGUUCUUCUUGACCUCACCCUCCUCACUUUCCUUGUUGUUGUUCUAGACCUCAGCGUCCUUUCUUUUCUUGAACAGCCCUUGAAAAACAUAGACCCAAAUUGUCGCAAAAGCCGCCGAGAGCAGAAUGUGAGCAAUUAUCAUCUUUACAGGGACCGGCGGGCCAAGCAAUGGUGUACCUACACAAGGGCUACAGUGGGCUACAACCCACCUCAAGUUUAACGAAAACAUUAAUUUGUAGCUAAAUUUUAGUUUAAAAAGUUUAAUUUUAAAAACUAGCCUACUUAGUCAUAGGUUAUUAAACCUAGUUAUUUAAACAGAGAUGAAUUGUUUGUUUUUUUGAACUAUUUUUUUCAUUAUGCCUAAAAUAAAAUUAGGCCAAACAAGAUACUAUUUGGAUGUUUGUGUAUAUGAUUAGUCAUAUAUAUUUUUUAUUUUUAUUUUAGUUCCCAAUUGCUUAAUUCUUCAAUCAAUUAAUCCAUUUGAUUCCAUAGUUCUUCAAUUGUGUCUUUUUUUUUUUUUUUUUUUUAAGACGCGAUGAUGUACUGUAUCUUUCUUUUCCGAUUAAGAUUUGAAGAUCAAAGAUUUGUUUAAUUAGUUGCUAGAGCAAUGUUUGUUUUCUUAACUUUUAAUUCUAUCAAAUGAUAUUAUGUUGAUUUCUGUUUAAUCAGUUUACUACUUGAUUGUUUGGUAUGUUUUUAAAAGAAUUAAAUUCAGUUUACCCCUUGUGGUUUGGGGGUGACUUCAUGUUAAUCCUUACACUUUUAAUUUCAUCAGUUUAUCCCUUGAACUCUUCAAUUUCUGUCUGCCGUGACCAAAUUCUCAUAUUCUGUUUAAAUUGACCGUUAAUUCUAGAUACGGGUCUCACUGUUAAGAUUAAAAUUAUCAUUUGACCAAAAAAACUAGUGGAAAAAAAAAUCCUUCCUUUUUAUCCCUAACUAAGUUGAAAAUUUUCUAAGCUUCGAGUACAAACGUAAUUUAACUCAUGAGAUUGGGUCCAUAUCAGCAAUUAACGUCUGAUUUGGACAGAAGAUAAAACAUUAGUCACGAUUGAGAAAAAUUUAAAAGUUUGAGGGGUAAACUGAUGAAAUUGAAAGUAUAGGGAUUAACAUGAAGUUACUCCCAAAUCUCAUGGGGGUAAACUGAAUUUAAUUCUUUUUAAAACAAGAUAUGAUAUGUACAACAUAAAGAAAGAAAUUAGAUAACUUUAAUAAAAAAAUUCAGCCCACCCCAUUUCAAAAUUCUAGUUCCGCCAUUGGGGCCAAGUAAGAUUGCGGCUUGAACCUUUGGGGUGCCAACCGUCUCAAUCAAUUCACUGACCUCCAAGUCAACCUCAAGCCGAAUCACCUUUUUGCCGAUGACCAGUGUUGGCACCGACACAUGCUCGACGCUUACUCCGACAGUUUUUAGUGCUUCUUCAAAAACCAGCGACUCACCAAAUUUCUAAAUACCGAACUUCCUGGCCUCACCAAAUUUCUGAAUAUAUACCGAACUUCCCGGCCUCGCCGGUGGCUCCCUGAUGAUUUCGAAGAGAAUCUCUUUUUUAAUUGCAGUGGAGUCCAUCUCUCUCUCUCUCUCUCUCUCUCUCUCUCUCUCUCUCUCUCCUUUCUGAUCACCUCUUCUCUCUCUCUCUCUCUCUAAGACUCUGAGUCUGUAACGGUUUCAUUUUGGGUUUUAUUAUGGGAAACGGGUCAAGCUUUAUAAUGGGCCUCGGGUUGUCCCACAAUGAGAAUGGGAGAGAGGAAGAGUCAUUCUCAUUCAUUUGUUUACUUGUUAUCCGGAAUCAGAGAUACUAUUUGGGUUGAUUCUCAUUUAUGUGUUUAUUAAAAUGUAGAAAUCAAAAUCAUAAUAAGGUUAAUUACAAAAACAUCCCUACAUAUAAGUCAAGAUAGUUUAUUAUGGAUAGAGUUUUCAUGUGGGUAAUUUUGGAAGAUCAAUAAAUCAUGAGGACAAUUUGGGAAUGUAAAAUUGAUUCUCUCAUGACCAGGAAUCAAUACUUAGUCCCCCACCGGAAUGAAAAUGGGGGAUUCAUUUCUUGGUUUUCUAUGGGUCCCACACAAUUUUUAUUCCCCUUUUGGUUGGUAAACACACAUUUUGAAAGGGAGAGGGAAGGAGUCAUUCCCAUUACGGUUUAGUGAACAUGGCCUUAAAUAAGCAAAGUUUUGGUAUCUCAUGACGGAGGAAUUAUUAUCUGUACCCGGCAUAUAUAUGAGAUGGUGUUCCCAGCCAAUAAGCACAAGACAUGUGGUUUUUUAUUUAACAUAUUACCCAUUCAUUAACGUUCGAGAUAAACAGUGUUAGUGGGUCUGCAAACAUAAACAAUUAAACAUCGAUCACAUCCUGGUUCAUAUGAAAUGAAGAAGAAACCUUUUCAAACAAAAAAAUUAGAUGAGGAAGCCCAGGCGUUCAUCCUCAUGAAAAAGGGAAUGAAAGUCAGGUCUGCUAUCUUUAUUUACUAGUAGACCAAAUUUCCCGACCAACCAUACUCGCUUGCUCAUCAUCACAAUCAAGCCAAUUCAAGCUUCUGGGUUUGGUU
rnacentral:lncRNA from 1 species